CUGGCUCAGGAUGAACGCUAGCUACAGGCUUAACACAUGCAAGUCAGGGGCAUCAUUUCGAAAGCUUGCUUUGAAGAUGGCGACCGGCGCACGGGUGAGUAACGCGUAUCCAACCUUCCCUUAGUAGGGCAUAGCCCGGCGAAAGUCGGAUUAAUACCCUAUGUUCUUUACGGAUGGCAUCUGAAGUAAAGCAAAGAUUUAUCGCUAAGGGAUGGGGAUGCGUCUGAUUAGGUGUUGGCGGGUAACGCCCACCAAGCCUACGAUCAGUAGGGGUUCUGAGAGGAAGGUCCCCCACAUUGGUACUGAGACACGGACCAAACUCCUACGGGAGGCAGCAGUGAGGAAUAUUGGUCAAUGGGCGAGAGCCUGAACCAGCCAAGUAGCGUGCAAGGGAUGACGGCCCUAUGGGUUGUAGACUGCUUUUGUCAGGGGAUAAAAAAGAGAACGUGUUCUCUAUUGCAUGUACCUGAAGAAUAAGGACCGGCUAAUUCCGUGCCAGCAGCGGC
rnacentral:rRNA from 1 species